CUUGGUUUUAGUUUUUGGAUUUUUGAAGUCAAGUUGUGUGCAUACAAAUUGAGAUUUAAAAUAUUCUUUUCGUGUGCUUUUUUACUGAAACAGGACAGAUUCCUCUGCAAUGUAUCUGUCGAUUUUUAUUUUUUUUGGCAAAAUACUUUACAUGAUUAUCCUAUUGAACAUGAAAAAAAUGAAGAAUUUUCAUGACUUAUUAUUACUGGAUUGGUUUAUUCAUAAAAGGAUGGAAGCAUACAGGCAAGCAGCAGUGGGGAUAUGAAAGUUUGGAUCUUGUAAUUCAUAGACUUGUGGUUAUAAAUGUAAUCUUGGAUACAUGAUGGCAAUGUGUAGCAAGAUAUUCAAUGUGGUGAAUUAGUGGGAGAGAUGCUUUUCCUUAUCUGCAUGUUAGGUGCAUGGUUGUUGCAUGUCUGCCUUCAAGACUAAAGGGAAGACCUCAUUAACAGUUUAAGGUGCAAUAUGUCAUGCUGAUCAUAACAUUGAGCAACAAAUGGGGUCCAAUAUGUGUGUGUGUGAUUGUUUGAUGCAUAACAAAAGAAGGAUUGGAUGAGAAAUGAAGAUAUUUCUGGUAUAGUAUGUGCAUGUGUGAUAGAGUUCUCAGUACCUCUGGGUUGUGAGAGCAGCUUAAAUUUGCAGCUAAUGCAUCAAAAGCAAAAGGGCAAGGUUUCAGAUAAGAUGGAUGAAAGUUAUGAGGAAGGUAUUUGGAAAUAUUUUAAGUGAUAAAGGAUGUGGCCCAUGUUGGGAAUGGCUGGAGGAGGCUGACACCUGAUAGAUAACACUAUCUGGUUACAAUAUCACUGUUUUCUCUUUGGUUGCUUAUCUUUUAUGAUUUAAAGACAAUUUUGGAGAGAAAAAAGUAUAUAUACGUGGCCUAAAUUUAACUACAUUAAAGGCAUUGAAUGAAAUGGAGCAGGGCAAAGUGCAAAAAAUUUUGCAAGUCGUGAUAAUGAGCUUUCAUUAGGACUAGAUUUUUCUUAUUGCUAUGUCAUAUUGGAUAUAGAUACUUGCAAACCACCUCAUUUUCUUCUUUACGUACCAAGUUGUUGUCUUAUGCAUUUGUACUAUUAUAGCUUGCUCAUUUGACUGAUGUUUACUUUAUUUACACGAUAAUAUUUCUAUUUUUGACAGGAAUUGAGGCUAGAGGCUUUAUAUUUGGUCCUCCUAUUGCUCUAGCAAUUGGUGCAAAGUUUGUCCCAUUGAGAAAACCAAGAAAAUUACCAGGUAUUUCAAUUAUCCUAUGAUGAUAUGUUCAUUCAAAUUGUAUUGUUGUAAUAAUGGAUUAAAUAGAAAUUUGCAUGUGUUCAUUGAGUCAUCAUAACCAUAUUGAGGGAGCCAAUUACUAUAACCGUAUCCAAGAAGCAUUAUACACUGGUUAGCAUUUUGAUUAUUUUAAUAUUUUUAGAUACUGACAAGUAGCAUUAUACACUGGUUAACAAUUUGAAUAUUUUAAUAUUUUUAGAUACUGACAAGUAUAGUCUCACGAGAUGGUAAUGUGCUAAGUUGCAUGGCUGCAUGAGUUGGUGUCUUUGGGCUGCACUUAAAAUAAAGUUGGACCUACCAUGAGUUGACAAUUUGGCCGGAUGUUCAGGUCAAUAUUUUCAUAUAUUUGAUAGUUACGACCAUAUAAAAUCCCAAGUGUUAAGGCUUGUAAAAAUUGUUGGCACCUUGACAGUUUAAACUUUUAGGGUCAAUUGGUUAGUUAACAUGGUAUCAAAGCCAAAAUAUCAUAUGUUAAAUCCCUAUGUAAGCCAAUUUUUUCUUCAUACCACCCAUUCAUUAUCCUGAAUCUCUUCUCUUGGCUUGUUCUCGGUUUGUUAUGGAGUCAUUCUUGACUUGUUCAUGCCUUCAUGUGUUUGGUCAAGGCCACAUGUGAGGGUGGAUGUUAAGGUCUGAUAUAACAACAAUACCAAUUUCCAUUCAACAAAGACAAAUAAUUAACAUAUACCAUGAACUUGUGAUAACAACUAUGAGAUGAUGCAUAUUAUAUUAUAAACUUUAUAACUCAUAUUAUAUAUCAAGUUUUUAAAUACAGAUAUUGAAUCCAUACCCUUUUUUUCAUUGGAAUUGUGUGUUAUCGAUAUGUUAAUGGUAUUGUGAUGCGGCACCAAGAAAGUCAAGAUAGCAAAUUGGAAAGAGAAAUAAAAUGAAAAGAAAACAAAGAAGUCAAGAGAAGCCAACUUUAGGAUUUUCAAUUUGUCAUUUCAAGCUGUCUCCUUCGAUACAAUAGGAGUCUUUAAAUAGACUCUCAAAUAAGAUGGAAAUAAAAUCAUAUCCUAAUAAAAGUGGAAAUCAUAUAGCAUAAAAAAGAAUGAAUACCAUCGAUGGCUAUCAAUAUACUUUCAAUGGUACCAUUGGCAUGCACCAGUAUGGACCGGUAUUGCCAAUGAAGAUGGUUUUGGUGUCCUAGCAUUUGUGUUGGUGCUGGUUUCACAUCAGAUCAGAAUGGUAUUGAUGGUACCAUUCUGUUCCAGUUGUUUUUUUUGAAUCCGCGCAUAUAGCAUAUGGCAUGUUUUCAUUCAUGUAAGAUCAAGCUAACCAAACUCUUGAUCUGGAAGUGAAGUGGUCCAAACGGGUUUUCAAAUGAGAACAAAAUUAAUCAAGCUUAUGCCAAACCAAAUCAACCUAAGGAGGUUGGCUCGAUUUAGCCUUAUGCUGACCUAAGACCAUCUACACUCUUGCUAGCAGUCAAGGUUUUACAAUAUUGUUACCAGAUCCUGUGCAGGUACUAUCUUGGUAUGGUGUCGGUACACGCGGUAUGAUGGUUGGAUGUCAAAUUUGCUAGCAACCCUUGCAUACUGUGAAAUUUUGUUAUUGUUUUAAAGAAAGUGGUCUCCAAGCACUUCAAGCACUUCACCAAUUUUGGGAUCUUUGAAUUUCUCAUACUGUUUAAUAAAUCUUUUGAGGUCCAUAGUUCAGAGUAUGGGCUUUUAUUUAGUCACUGUAAUGCUGUUCUGUUUUCUUUUUUUUUUUCCUCCCUGAGCACAGUCAUCAUGAUACCAUUAUGGAUCAAUUUUAGUUUGCUUCUUUGUUUCAUUUCUUAUGUUCUUAGAUCUGUGUUUUGGAGAUUGUGGCUGGAGUAUAUUAUAAUCAUCUUAAUGGGCCUUUCUUAUAAUAUAUGUUUAGGAGAAGUCAUUUCAGAGGAAUAUGUCCUGGAAUAUGGAACCGAUUGUCUUCAAAUGCACAUUGGUGCAGUCCAACCAGGAGAUCGUGCUCUAGUAGUUGAUGAUUUGAUUGCAACUGGGGGAACUCUCUGUGCUGCCAUAAAAUUACUGGGUAUGUGUGAUAGGAACAUGUUAUAGUUAUUAUCCUCUGGUAGCAUUGGAGUUCAUGCAAUUCUUUUAAUUGCUGGCAAAGUAAAUAGAGCUAGUGAUAUUUUUCAACUGAAUAAAUUGAAGUUUGUGGUCAAAAGGAGAGACCUCAGUAAUCUUUGAGUUAGGAUGAGAAACAGUUCACUAGGCUUCAAAACUAUUAGAAACUUGGAAGAAUUUAAUAAUUUUUGAUGUCAUAAACUUACACUUGGUCUUGUUUAACGCAAUUGACUUUGAGAACUAGAAGUUUGCUUGUAAUUAUACCUAAGAUUCUCAUUCCUACAGUCUUUACCCAGUCAUCAGUUUAUCUGGGUUACAAGAGCAUGAAGUAAAGACUCAAGUAGAUGAGGAUUGUUUUUUACAGAAAUUCUACCUGUUCUCCCUUAUUUCUCUUGAGGAGCAUAACCAAAUUUAACAUAUUUUUCAUAGAAGGAAGAAUGUGUAGUCUCACCCAAAUCACUAAUAAUGUUGCUAAUCAGAAUCUGUUUGGUGGUUCUAGCCUAGGUUAGUCUUGGUACAAAUCUGGUACAACCAUGCUUAUAAGAUCAAACUAAUCGAAGGAAUACCUUCUACAAAAUUUAAUGGUCUCAACCCAUCUGAGAAACCUGACUUAUAAGCUGUAAGUUGUGCUUGGAAAAAACUUUGCUAUGCCCAACAACAUUGAGUUUCGAUCAUUAAAAAAUUUCCCAUUUUUUUUGUCAAGCCUUAAUGCUAAUUCUUCCAAAACUGUGAUACUAUUUAAAUAUUCAAUCCGCAGGCAUAAUUCUUGGCAACAUUUCUUUUUCCCAUCAUGAACUAUUUUGCACUUUAUUAGGUCACUUCAGCUCAUGUUUCUUUGUUAGACCGCUAUUAUCUGUAUGCCAAUUGUUCCUACAGAGCGUGCUGGGGCUGAAGUGGUUGAAUGUGCAUGUGUGAUUGAACUUCCAGAGCUUAAGGUACAUCCAACAAGUCAUCCUUGUUUUCCUUACACUCGACAUAAUGAUUCUGAUGCUUACAUUGUUAUUUAGGCAUUUUAUUUACAAUUUUCAAGUGCUAAGUGUGAAGUGCUUGAGUGGGAUGUUGUGGCUUUAAUUACUACCUUUUUUUUUUGUUGUGUGUGUGUAAUAAUCUCUAUUUACUUUAUCUGUUCUGAGCAUACAGAUGUGCAUAUUCAUGUAUGUGCUACAACUUAUAUCAAAUGACUCAACCCACAUCAUCUUCUGUAGUUAUCUUCCUUUGCAUGUGUGUGCUUUAUGGAUGAAAACUUAAAUAUUAAAUUUUUCCCAUCAUCAAGUAGGAUUCAAUCUUUCCCCUAUUUCGAUUUGCUUUGUUUUGUCUCUCUGAAGUUGUGCUUAAUCUUUUUGUUUUAGCUUUCUUUUGAUUUGAUUUAAUAUUAAUAUUAUUUCUCUUUUCUUUUGUAUCUUGGAAGAAUCUGAUUCCAGAUUACUGAGAACAUGUUUCCUCUUCUCUUGUGAUGAGUUCGUUGUUCUUUUAUGGUAGCAUUUGUAAAGAAAUUCUCGUACCUUGUUGAUAUAUCUUUGCUUAUGAUGUUCCUUGCGAGACAUUAUGUUACUUAGAAGUCAGAUCCACCAUGCACAGAUUAACUCAUCCAAAAAUGAAUUUGUUGUGGCAUUCAUAAACAUCUAUAGCUAGCUUAAGUUUUUGUUCAGCACAUUACGUGGAACAUGAAUAUAUCGAAGCUCGUUGAAGAUUAACCCUUAUGUGUCUUUGCCAAAUCUGUAAGAUGGAGAUCAAUAUAUAAAUCUUUUCAUUGUAGUUGCAAAUGCUUUUGAUCUAAAUUUCUGUUUCUUUUACUGCGCGUCAUGUAUGAUUCUAUUUAGUCCUUUUUGUCAAUUUAAUUGUGCUUUUCAUGUCCAAUAAACUUUGUAUCUGGGUUAGUGCUAUAUGCCUCCUUGUAACUUCUCUAUUGCAGCAGCCUUUUUUUCAGCAUAUUGUGUUUCUCCAUCAGUCUUAUUUAAUUCUAAACAAUGAUCAAUGGGUCUCUCAGUAUACCUUAUUUCUUAAUCCUCCUCAUCCAUUCAAGCGAUCCAAUUUGAGAGAGAAGGAAUCUUUUCCUUCAAUGCACUCAAGUCAAAUCUUACAGAAAAACAAUUUAAAACAAAAUUUAUAGGACAUAGAAAGCAGGUAUUCUACCCUUUUUACUUUUAAAAAUCAGGAUACAAAACAAUGAUGCAAGACUUUUGUUUGUACUAGUGAGAGGUUGGUCUCUCUGAACCUAAGUCGGACUCCUCAUCUGGUUAAAGCGGCAGAAUUCUUCAAAAAUAAGAAACCAUAAAAAUUACUCAAGCAGGCUAAAAAUCCAGACCUCGACUCCUACAUUAACUUAUUGUUACAUCACAUUCUGCUAUUUUUUAUUUUUUAUUUUGGUGCAAAUGGAUGGUCACACCACUCCGGUGUGAGAGCAUCCCAAGAAAUCAAGGUAUAAAAAGUCCCGCAGUCCCGGCGGGCAAGUGCCACCCUAUCUCCAAACCCGGUUCUUGGAGUAUCUGCCAUAUAAGAAGUAACCCAAUCAGCCGCGUGGUUAAAUCACAUUUCUCAUGGAUUUAGGGGAUUUUGGCGGAUCAAAUAGUCUAGAAUGAGGUCACUUUUCUGAACAUAUUGGACUAAACUCUCUUAUCAGUAUAAUUGCCUUAAACUUGUACUCAGCAUAUGCCUGCUGGCAAUAAUAUAUAGAUUUCUGAAAUAGUAGUUUACGGGGAGGCUUCCCACCUUCCUGCAUGUCAAGUGUUCUAAUAGUAUCUGGAGGACGUCUUAAAACAUUACAUGUAAUCCCAGGGGAAAGCAUCUUAUGGACAUUAUAUUAUUGAACGCAUUGAACAGCAAUGGGAGUUCAUGUGCCACUGCUGUGAUCUAAAAUUGGUUGUCUGAUAUGCAACUAAUACUGUUUUAAUUUUCCUCUUAUUGUGUUUGUGCUGAUAUUGUUGGAUAAAGCUGUUGCUUAUUAUUCACCUCAUCUUCUAAACUAAUAUCUCUAAUGUUUUGGUCUGGAAUUUUGGUUCCCGAGCUUUGUCAACUUCUUACAAAUAACAAGUAGCAAAUACGAAGGAAAUAGCUUAAAUACUUGAGCACGUAAUAGAAUCUUGAAUAUAUGUGCAGGGCCGUGAAAGGUUAAAUGGUAAGCCAUUAUACAUACUUGUGGAGUCCGGCUGAUGAUACUUAGCUCUCGUUCAUCUGAUGGGAGUCACGGUUCUGUACAUUAGAGGCUUUCAUUCCAGGUGUUGUGGAUGCAGGCAUCGUUUCUGAUUAUUUCACUGCCCUUCGAGGCUUUCUAUUUUUUAUGUUCCUCAUUUCAUGUCAAAACUGGAGUUAUGCAAUCAAACUACAUUGUUAUUUGAGAAAAUUCGAAUCUGAUGUGAUUUUUUUUUCAAUGCAUUUUUCAGCACAGAAGCACUGUAGCAUCACAAAGACUCAGGCAUUGUGACUCUUAUAUAUCUAGAUAUUGACCGAGAAGUGAACAAAAGCAGGUGUUUGGAGGAAUCAUUCUUUCUGCCAUCUAUUCUACGCUACUACUAAACUCUAAACACCCAAGCACCGCACCGACCCUUAGGCUGCAUAUGGUCCCAUCUUAAAUAAAUUUAUCUCCCAUGGUACAUUUCUUAGGUCAAAGGAGCAAACAGGAUAUGUCACGUCCUGGGACAUCAUGUUAUGUCAUCGAGGGAUGGGUCCACGGUAAUACGAAGUUAAAAAUUUAUUUUCUUAAAUAUAAUGACAGAUGCAUCAUAAAUAAAUAUUUAAUUUAAAUAUUUAAUUAAAUUAAAAUUGUUUUAGAAUAUUUAAAUUUAAAGAUGAAAUAAUUCAAGUCUUAAAAUUUAUAAUAGCUAUAAUUCUUAGAUUGAAUUUUUAGUAUAAAAUUUUUAAGUUUGCUUUGCUGAUUUUUAAGUUUGGAUUUAUUUAUCAUCAGUCUUAGUCUUAUUUUUCUGUAUAUGAAAAAGAAAAUAAAAAAAAUAUGAGUUAUACUAGUUCAGUAAGUAGAUUUCUGCUUUCUUAUCGGUUCAAACAUAAGUUUUUUAUGAUAAUGCAUCAUUUAGCAAAUAAUAAUUAUAGUAAACAUAAAUAUUUUAUAAAGUGUAUAAUAAAAUAAGUUAUAAGUUCAUCAUGCAUGUAUAAAUCAUGUAUAUUUUAUAAUCAUGAAUCAUAAAUCAUUUCUAUCAUAUAUUUGUGUCAUGUUUCAAAAAUAUUACUCAUAAAUGUUCAUGCUAAGGUCACUAUUAUAUCCAUGACAGAGUCAUAUUUCUUAAUCGACAGAGUUCUUAAUUCAUGUGCUAAUUUUAUAUCUAUCGGCAGCAUCAUGUUUCGCGUGGAUGCUAGCUUCGGAUAUCGACCUUUCCGAAGGAAUUCAUUUAUAGGUAUCUGGGAGUUUUUGAAAUUUUUAUAUUUUUUUCUUAAAUCAUACAUAUACGUAGAAUAAAAUUUCAUAUUUUAUAAUCAUGUAAUUUUUAUAAAAUAUAUUCAUGCAAUCAAUGCUCAUAAUAAAAUAUGUUUUUUUAUAUCACAUAUACUGUCUUGAUUUUACAAAAAAUAUGACUUCAUGAAUAAGAGAUUAUAUGCAUGAAAAUCAUGAAGAUUUAAAAAUAAAUAAGGAGCAUAAGAUCUGCAUAUCUCGAUCGUUCUGGACUUUUUAAUCUUUUUUAAAGGAAUCGGACAAUUCUAUUUAAAAUAUUAAAUUAUCAAUAAAUUUUGUUUCAUAUAUUUAAUAAAAUUACAUAAUAUAAGAAGAUGAUCGAUUUGAUGAUCAAUCCAAUAAAUUUUUUCUUUCGGUUCUAAAUCGAUUUAAGGUCAUAGGUCUCUAGGAGUGGAGAAGAUGGCCUAAUAGGGGAUUCAUAGGGCUUUUUAGAGAGAGAAAAUUUUUAGAGAGAGAAAGAUCAAUUUUAGAGAGAGAAAGACUUAAGAGAGAGAUGAGAGAAAUUUUUUUUCAUGUGUAUUUUAUUAUUAUUAUUAUUAUUAUAAUAUAUAUAUAUAUUUUAUUAUAAUAAUAAUAAUAAUUAUUAUUAUAUAUAUAUAUUUUUUUCUUUUCUUUUUCUUUUUUUUUAUUAUUAUUAUAUAUAUAUAUAUUUUCUUUUCUUUUUCUUUUCUUUUUCCCGUGGUCUUCUUUGGCCGAAACAGGGGACCUAGAGAUCCCCUUGUCUUUGACCAACCGUUCACGAUCGUACCUUGCCCGACGGUGAUCGACGGCAAGGGGCGAUCCUCUUGGAUUCAAAGAGUCCAGAGUCGGCGGUCGACGAUGACUGUCGGUGCCUUAAAAAUCAGGAAAAGGGAGAGGCCGAACAGGGCUUCUUUUUCUGAUGAAAUCCGACGACUCCUGUUGCCGACAGUCGUACCUACCGGCACGAAAAAGAAGGGAGAGAAGAGAGGAAGAGGAGGAAGGAUUUACCACAGCCUCCGAUGACUCCCAUCGGUGUGAAAUCGCGACGAGCAUGAGUCGAGGGGCCGCGGCUUUAAUCGAAAAAAUCACGGUGAUUGUUAUGUCCUCUCUUACAGGAGAGGAGGGGGUUCUUAUAAGGCUUGUCCUAUGGUUCUUUAAUGGCCCUAGGACUCUAAUUCCUGAUCGGAAUCGAGGAAGGAGAAGACUUCGAUCGGGAGUCUUCUUCCCCCUCUUUUUUUUUUUUUUUUCUGGGUGGGCUUAGUGGGCUUUAGGCCCAAUGGGUCGGAUUAUCACAUUCUACCCCCUUUAAAAAAAAUUUCGUCCUCGAAAUUUAACAUACCUUCAUUUUCAAAUAAGUGUGGAUAUCUCGUCUUCAUAUCAUUUUCAAGCUCCCAAGUAGUCUUUCUCUCUUCAUGAAUCUUCACAUAUGGAAUGAUGCGCCAUCUUAGAACUUGCUCUUUUCGAUCAAUAAUUCGGAGAGUAAAUUCUUCAUAGGUUAAGUCUUCAUGAACUUGCAAUGGCUCAUACUUUAUCACAUUAUUUGGAUCAGGUACAAACUUUCUCAGUAGUGAAACAUGAAAGACAUUGUGCACUUUGGAUAAAUCUGAUGGUAAAGCUAGUUCGUAAGCAACAUCUCCUACUCGAUUUAAAAUUUCAAAAGAUCCAAUAUAUCGCGGACUCAGUUUGUCAUAUCUCGCAAACCUCAUGACACCCUUAGUAGGUGAUACUUUUAGAAAAACAUGCUCACUAACCUAAAAUUCUAAUUCUUUUCUUUUUCUAUCUGCUCAACUCUUCUGUCUAUCCUGUGUUGUUUGAGUCUUCUUUUGAUCAGAUAAAUUUUGUCUCUAGCAUCUUGAACUAACUCGGGACCUAUUAAUUUUUUUUCACCCACUUCAUCCCAAUACAGAGGAGAUCUACACUUUCUUCCAUAUAGGGCUUCAUAGGGUGCCAUCCGGAUACUAGAAUUAAAACUGUUGUUAUAUGCAAAUUCAAUCAAUGUCACAUGAUUAUCCCAAUGUCCUCCGAAAUCAAAAGCACAAGCUCUUAACAUAUCCUCAAGAAUUUGAAUUGUCCUUUCAGAUUGGCCAUCGGUCUGAGGAUGGAAAGCAGUACUAAGCCUCAAUUCUGUCUCCAAAGCAUCUUGAAAAUUUUUUCAAAAUCUAGAUACGAAUCGUGGAUCUCGAUCAGACACAAUAUUUAUUGGAACACCAUGCAAGCGUACAAUACCAUGAAUAUACAUCCGGGCUAACUUAUCAAGUGGAGUGCCAACUCGAAAAGAUAGAAAGUGAGCUGAUUUAGUAAGUCGAUCAACAAUCAUCCACACUGCAUCAUUUUUUCUUGCUGUCCUUGGAAGUCCAGUAACGAAAUCCAUUAUGAUAUGCUUCCAUUUUCAUUCUGGUAUCUCUAAUGGUUUUAGCAAACCAACAGGUCUUUGAUGUUCGGCUUUCACUUGCUGGCAUACCAAGCAUUGAGAUACAAAUCGAGCUAUCUCCUGCUUCAUUCUAUUCCACCAGAUUUAUGGGCUUCUUCCAAAAUUUUUUUUUUAGUUCAGGAUCUCUUGGUAUACAUAAUCUGUUCCUAAAAUAAAGAGUUUCAUCUGUAUGUAACCUAAACUCAGUUCAUAGCCCUUUCUCCAUGUCCUUGUUAAACUGACACAAACGAAUAUCAUUUUGUUGGGCCGUUUUUAUCUGUUCGAUCAAUGCUGGUUGUACCGUUAAAUUUGCUAACACAUUCUUAACAUCAGUACAAGUCACUUCAAUUUGCAAAUCUUCGAGAUCCCUCAGAAUUUGUUGAUGAAAUGAUAGCAGAGUCAUCACAUUUGUUAAAAACUUCCUACUAAGUGCAUCUGCCACCAUAUUGGCUUUUUCAGAGUGAUAUUUAAUAUUUAGAUCAUAAUCUUUUAAUAGUUCAAGCCAUCUUCUUUGUCUCAUGGUUAGCUCUUUUUGAGUAAAUAAGUAUUUCAAGCUUUUAUGAUCAGUAAAGAUUUCACAUGAUUCUCCAUAUAAAUAGUGUCACUAAAUCUUUAAAGUAAAAAUAAUAGCUGCUAACUCCAAAUCAUGUAUCGGAUAAUUCUUCUCAUAAGCUUUUAGUUGUCGAGAAGCAUAAGUUAUGACCUUAUCGUUCUGCAUCAACACAUAAUCUAAUCCCUUCUUGAAAGCAUCACUAUAAAUGACAAAUCCUCCAUUAUUAGAUAGUAAAGUAAGAACUGGGGCAGAUAUCAAUCGUUGCUUUAGAUCUUGAAUUCUGCUCACAUUUCCUGCUCUAUUCAAAUUUUAUUCGUUUCUAAGUUAAGCGGGUUAGAGGAAUUGCAAUUUGAGAAAAUCCCUCGACGAAUACUUUUANNNNNNNNNNNNNNNNNNNNGAUCUCCUUAGAAUUACAUGGUCGAGGAAGAUAAUACUCUCCAACCAGAACUCACACUUGCUAAGCUAGGCGAAGAGCUUCUCUUCUCCCAAGGUCUGAAACAUAAUCUUCAAAUGUCUCUCAUAUUCCUCUAUAUUUUUAGAAUAAACUAGGAUAUCAUCAAUAAAAACAACAACGAAUUGAUCCAGAUACGGCUUGAAAAUCCUGUUCAUCAUAUCCAUAAAAGCAGCCGGUGCAUUGGUUAGUCCAAAAGGCAUUACUAAAAAUUCAUAAUGACCAUACCUGGUUCUAAAUGCAGUCUUAGGUACAUCUUCAUCUCUAAUUCGUAGUUGAUGAUAAUCUGAUCGUAAGUCAAUUUUGGAGAAAACUUGUGCACCUUGAAGUUGAUUAAAUAAGUCAUCUAUUCGAGGAAGAGGAUAUUUAUUUUUUAUGGUUACCUUGUUCAACUCUCGAUAGUCAAUGCAUAAAUAUAUGCUCCCAUUUUUCUUUUUCACAAAUAACACAGGAGCUCCCCAGGGUGAUGUACUUGAUCGGACAAACUUUUUAUUCAAAAGUUCUUGCAAUUGAUCCUUUAAUUCUCGUAAUUCUACAGGAGCCAUCCGAUAAGGAGGUUUUGAUAUAGGUUCGGUUCCUGGUGUGAUAUCAAUUUUAAAUUCAAUCUCACGAUCUGGGGGUAGUCCGGGUAGUUUAUCUGAAAAAAUAUCAGAAAAUUCUUUGACAAUUGGGAUAUUGUCCAACUUUAUUUUUUCCUUCUCGGCAUCUACUACAUGGACCAAAAAUACUUUGCAUCCUUUCCUCAAAGCUUUUUUUGCAUUCAUGAUUGAGAUAAUACCCAAAGAUUGUUUGGGUUCCAUAUUAUGAACUUCGCUUUGAAAGAAAAAUUGCGGUUCAUCCGAAAUUUGAAAUACCACUCUUUUUCUAAAACGAGCAAUAUGUGCAUGGUACGAAGAUAACCAGUUCAUCCCAAGAAUCAAUAUGUGCAUGGUACUUCUAUUUGGAUUAUGCAAUUCUUAAAAAUAAUAUUAGCAACAACAAUAUUUUUAAAAGGUGUGCUAACAUAUAAUGGUUCAUUUAGUUUCUCAGGCACACAAUUCAAAGAAGUAGCAAACUUGAGAGAUAUAAAAGAGUGAGAAGAGCCAGAAUCGAAUAGCACACGAGCAUGAAUAGAAUUGACUGGGAUAGUAUUUGUCACCACUUGAUCACUUGCAUUAGCCUCAUGUUGGUUUAAAGCAAACACUCGUGCAUUUUCUUUCUGUUUUUGAUCAACUGGUUUGUUAGGUCUAGAGUCAUCUUUUUUCUUAUUUGGGUAAUCACGAGCUAUAUGUCCUUUCUCGCCACAUAAGAAGCAUGCUCCUAUCCUCUUGAGACAAAGUCCAUUAUGAUUUUUCAAUUCAGACUCCACUUUCAAAGCUCGCUCCAGUACGUCCUUGUAGUUAUUGAAAAUAUGAGAAGACAGACGGGACCGAAUUUCAUAUCUUAAACUUUGUUCGAAUCUGUUGGCUUUACUCCUUUCGAACUUCAUAAGCUGGGGGCAGAAGCGGCCUAGCUCAUUAAAUUUGUUAGCAUAUUCUAAUACAGUCAUAUCAUCCUUUUGCUUUAAGGCUAGAAACUCAUUUUCUUUUAUCAAUCUCAUUGUCCCAGGGAAGUACUGAUCAUAAAAUAUCUCUUUGAACUCUUCCCAAGUGAGCUGAUCAUCAUUAUUCCCAUAAGCAGUUUUUAUUGCAGUCCACCAAAACUCAGCAUUCCCUUUUAACAUAGGAACAGCUAAUCUGACCUUUGCAUUCUCAAGGUAUUGCAGGGCAUCAAACAUCUUCUCCAUCUCUCAAAUCCAUGUCUCUGCAGUCAUAGGAUCAGAUCCACCCUCGAAUAGAGGUGGGUUGAGUCUUCUGAAUCUCUUGUAGUAUGACUUCAUAGAUAAUGUAGGUCGAGGAGCAGUUUGUACCUGCUGCUGGAUAAGCUGAGCCACCACUUGACAUACACCAGCAAUAUCCACCUGAGUGGUCGGUGCAUCAGGAGCCCGCUCAACUGGUUGAUUGGCAGCUCCCCACGAUGUUAAUCUUACUUUUCUUGCUCUUCUUGUCCUAGCAGCCAUAUUUGCCAAGAUCUCCUCCUCUCUAUCGCUCAUCGCUUCCUAGUUAAAUGCCAACAUUAUUACAUUAUUUUAUAACAGAGUUGUAGUACAGUUAAUAAUUUAAGUCAGAGUCUAACUAUGCGUAAUCUAACUACCCACUGUUAGGUUUUAGGUUCUACCCUUGAUUAAACCUAUCGCUCUGAUACCAUAAAAUGUCACGCCUCGAAUCCGAGACAUAACACGGCCAUGCCACCGAGGGAUGGGCCCACGAUAACAUGAAGCCAAAAAUUCAUCUUCUUAAACAUAAUGACAGGUGCAUCAUAAAUAAAUAUAAUAAUAAAGUUCAAUUCAAAUAUUUAAUUAAACCAAAAUUAGUUCAGAGCAUCUAAAUCCAAAGAUGAAAUAAUCCAAGCCUCAAAAUUCAUAAUAGCUACAAUCCUUAGACUGAAUUCUUAGUACAAAAUUUUCAAGCUUGCUUUGUUGAUUUUAAAGUUUGGAUUUUCUUGUCACCAGUCCUAGUCUUAUUUCUCUGUACAUGGAAAAGAAAACAAAAAGAAUAUGAGCUACACUAGUUCAAUAAGUAGACUUUCGCUUCCUUACCGGUUCAAGCAUUAGUUUUCUAUGAUAAUGCAUCAUUUAGCAAAUAACAAUUAUUGUAAAAAUAAAUAUUUCAUAGAGUGUAUAAUAAAACAAGUUAUAAGCUCUUCAUGCAUGCAUAAAUCAUGUAUAUUUCACAAUCAUGAAUCAUAAAUCAUUUCUGUCAUGUAUUUGUGUCAUAUUUCAAAAAUAUUGCUCACAGAUGUUCGUGCUAAGGUCACUAUUAUACCCGUGACAGGGUCAUGUUUUUUAAUCGACAGAGUUUUUAAUUCAUGUGCCAAUUUUAUACCCGCUAGCAGGGUCAUGUUUUAUGUGGAUGCUAGUUCAGGAUGUCGACCUUUCCGAAAGAAUUCAUUCAUAGCUAUCUGAGAGCAUUUGAAAUCUUUAUAUCUUUUUCUUAAACCAUAUAUAUACAUAGAAUAAAAUCUCAUGCUUCAUAAUCAUGCAACUUUUAUAAAAUACAUGCAUGCAAUCAAUGCUCAUCCUGAUUUUAUGAAAAAUAUGACAUAUACUUUUAUAAAACAUGCUUUUUCAUAUCACAUAUGCUGAUUCUGAUUUUACGAAAAAUAUGACUUCAUCAAUAAGAGAAUAUAUGCAUGAAAAUCAUGGAGAUUUAAAAAUAAAUAAGGAGCGUAAGAUCUACAUACCUCGAUCGUCUUGGAUCUUUUAAUCUUCCUUAAAGAAAUCGGACAGUCCUAUUUAAAAUAUUAAAUCAUCAAUAAAUUUUAUUUCAUAUAUUUAAUAAAAUUACAUAAUAUAAGGAGAUGAUCGAUUUGAUGAUCAGUCCAAUAAAUCUUCUCCUUCGGCUGUAAACUAAUUUAAGGUCAUAGAUCUCUAGGAGUGGAGAAGAUGGCCUAAUAGGGGAUCCAUAGGGCUUCUUAGAGAGAGAAAAUUUUUAGAGAAAGAAAGUAGAGAGAGAAAGUUCAAUUUUAGAGAGAGAUGAGAGAAACUUUCUCUCAUGUGUAUUAUUUAUUAUUAUUAUUAUUAUUAUUGUUAUUAUAUAUAUUUUCUUUUCUUUUUCUUUUUUUAUAAUAAUAAUAAUAAUAAUAAUAAUAAUUAUAUAUAUAUAUUUUUUUUCUUUUUUUAUUUUUCUUUUUCUUUUAUUAUUAUUAUUAUAAUUAUUAUAAUAAUAAUAAUUAUUAUAUAUAUUUUUUUCUUUUCUUUUUUCUUUUUCUUUUUCUUUUUCUUUUCUUUUUCUUUUCGUUUCUUUUUCUCGUGGCCUUCUUUGGCCGAAACAGGGGACCUAGAGGUCCCCUUGUCUUUGACCGACCAUUCACGGCCGUACCUUGCCUGGUGGUGGCCGGCGGCAAGGGGCGACCCUCUCUCUCGGAUUCGGAGAGGCCAGAGCCGAUGGUCGGCGGUGACCGUCGGCGCCUUAAAAAUCAGGAAAAGGGAGAGGUCGAACAUGGCUUCCCUUUCCGAUGAAAUCCGACGACUCCUGUCGCCGGCAGUCGUGCCCACUGGUACGGAAAAGAAGGGAAAGAGGAGAGGAAGAGGAGGAAGGACUUACCACAGCCUCCGAUGACUUCUGGCGGCGUGAAAUUAUGGCGAGUACGAGUCGAGGGGCCGCGGCUUUAAUCGAAAAAAUCGGAGAGGAAUUCCGACGAUCGUCGGUGAUUGUUAUGUCCUCUCUUAGAGGAAAGGAGGGGGUUCUUAUAGGGCUCGUCCUAGGGUCCUUUAAUGGCCCUAUGACUUUGAUUCCUGAUCGAAAUCGGGGGAGGACAAGACUCCGAUCGGGAGUCUUCUUCCCCCUCUUUUUUUUUUGCUGGAUGUGCUUAGUGGGCUUUAGGCCCAAUAGACCGGGUUAUCACAGGAUAUAUCUUCUCCAAUAUCCGUGAUUGAAUAAUAAAAAAUUCUUUAACAAAUCACCUGUUUUACUUCUAAUUUGUAUUGGCUAUCUCAAAACUAUAUUUUAACUUCUAUAAGAGGCCUCGCUUUAAUGUAACAGACUGCCGUUAGACCUAAUUAUCCAUCAGAAUUAAGGAAGCCUACUUUUACUGCAGUAAUAGCCCAAGUCCUUGGCCUGGUUGGUUGCAGUGAUUUGUUUCAGUUAUGAGUAGCCUUUUCACUGAGAGCACCAUUACUAAUUGUGAGAUCCCUUAAUCUCACUACAAUAGAAAAAGGAGGUCGGGUUUCUGCUGUGCACUGUACGGUGUAGUGUACAGUGCACCGUUCAUCAUGGCGCACCAUUCAUCGUGCGGUGGAUGGAUGGCUGUGCGUGGCUGUGCAUGGCCAUCCAUUGCAUGAUGGACGGGGCGUGCUGUGCACCGCACGGUGUGGUGCACAACGGAGGAUUUGUGCGUAUUUGAAGCAGACUACUUGCCAUCACUUCUUACAAUGUAAACAAUAUGAUAAAAGAGAGCUAUGACAAUGAUCCCGCUUUGUGAGCUACGGCAUGGAUGCCGAUACACCUUUCUUUGAUGCAGCAUUACCUUGUCAGAAUGCAACUGGCAAACAAUAUUGGCCCCGAAUUUGGAGGGCUCUAAGCUCUUAUGGGUUCUACCAGGUUUGUAGGGAAAACCAGGACUCAUACCGUUCAUCUCAGGACUCUGUAUGACCUUCAUGGUGGUGUCAUUCAUUUGGUAGUCCUAGUACUCGACUGGAAGUCAUUUGGAUUUGGUGGUACUAUGCUACAUAUUGCUCUUUUUUCAGUCAUGCCAAUUUUGCCAUGAUUGGAUUAAAAAUCUAGUGAAGCACAAGAUUGGAGGUCUGAAUGAUAGAAAGACCGACCUAGUUUAAGAUGCUAGGCUCAAAGAAAUUACUAAACUUAUCUCAAUUUGAUGGGGCACAUUGUGUGUAGCCCCUAUAACCAUUAGGAUAAUGAGAACUAACUAUGAAACUGGUCUGGGCCCUAUAGCGAUGCUCAAAGAACCAUGGGUAGCGUUUGUUGCACCGCUUUAUUCGUCUCCCCGGGAGGAGGAAGUUGUUACGAUUCACAGGACUGUGAUUCAAAGAGGACUAAAAAUUGCACCACCCAGUGAUUUUUUUUUUCGUUUUAAAUUUGAGAAAUUACUAAUUUCUUCAAACAUUACUCUUUUUGUGGAAGAUGGGAGGGCUAUCGUAGCUUUAGUGUGGUCACCACCAAUCAUUUCCAAUCACUUCUAAGAAAUGACGGCAGGUCAAAUACGUGGUAAACAUGUUUGAAUAUUUGAACCAAGUAAAAAGGCAAGAGAAUUGCCAGAAUAAUGCUUUCGAAAACUGGUCAAAGGAAAAGAUGGAUGAUAAUUUGAACAAAAAGGUAGAAGAUUUGGUUCAUUGUGCCUUCCAAAAUGAGUUGAUGGAUUAUAUAGAAGAUAAUUAAAGAAAAUAUAUUUUUCAGAUUGCUGGGAUAUGAAACAGUGAGAUUAAUGCAGUGGAUACCUUUCAAGUUUAUGGUUGACUGCUAUUUUAUUUUGAGAGGCAAUGAAAAGGCCUCUGAUGCCCACAGGGAAGCAAACCGUUUGCCUGGUCUUUCUAAGAUGAAACCAGAAUGCUUAUUCUUCCUGGGAUUCGUGCAGCUAUAAUUUCCCUGAACAAAAAAGAGAAAGAAAGGUAGCUUAAAAAUUUCAGUCUUCGGAGAAAAAUGGGCAUUGUAGUGUCAUUGGUCUUUACUUGGGUGACUGAGCAUAAGAUUUGAAUAGAGCUGGGGCGCUUACACUGUUUUACAAUAAUCUGCAGCAGAUCGUACCCUAUAGAGCUCAGAUGGAUUUGGACUGUCUACCGUCUACCUCUGAUACAACAAUUAUGCUCAUCGAAAUUGUGUUAUUUUUCUGAUAGGAAGACUGCAGGGUGAGGUGCUGACUGAGGAAGCAGAAGAAGGUUGACGUGCCGCCUGAGGAAGCAGGAGAGAUUGUGUUGUGGACUCAGUGCAGAGUUGUACCGUACGCAAAGGGUGAAGGAUCAUCAGGCCGCAUCGUGAGGAGGAAAAAAAAAAGAAUCAUCAGGCAAUUACAUCAAAGACUCGUAAUAAAGAUCUAGCAGGACAUUAUUUAACUGGUAUUGAAUGUCUAAUGACUAGGUGUUACGAGUUGGUUGUGCAUUUCCUAUUUGGUGGUUUGGAUGAAAGAUCUUUCUACCUCUUUAGUGCCCGUUUGAAUGGUUCUAUAGGAUUGGACCGAAAAUUCUAUACGACUCGUGGUUUGAGCCAUCUAUUUAAGCAUAACAUUGUAUCAAUCAAAUACCGCUCAGUCCAAAAUCCUAUAAAAAGAGAAAAGAUCUUCAUAUGCCUUUUUCUUUUUUGCAGCUUAAAACUAGAAUCUAGACCGGGUUUUAACAAACUCUUGGAAAAUACAAGAUGGAUGGGCCAAUAGGUCCGAUUCAAUAUCCAAACAUGCCCUUAGUUGAUUUGUUUCAUGCAAAUAUUGUUAUAUUGGAUCUCAGCUAGCUUUAUAUUAAUUUAAUUGCCUUUUUAUUAUGAAAAAAAGAAAGGGGGAGUAUACAAUAGUUGAAGCAAUUAGGAAAUUCAUUUUAUUUGGAAGGUAAAGGAGUGAGAUGUUCAUAAAACUUUUGCUUUAUAAGGAUUAUGGAAAAGCAUUGAGAUUCAAACUAGAAAUGCUCUAUUGAGAAUAGCACUGGAUCAAAUAAUUGGAAGAACCGUCAGAAAAAGCAUAGGCUUUCCGGAUAUCUCGGGAUCAGCUCUAGCAAAUGUUCAAUAUGAUAUGAAAAAUUUUGAUGGUAAUAUGAGAAUGACAAGUAUGAGGGCUUAAAUUGGGUCGAAGGACUGUUUCCAACCUUUUUUUUUUUUUCUCCAUUAAAUAAACUGGAGGAUACAAAAUAACUUGAUGGUAUUAUGACAACGGCAGAUGUUCAUUCUCACAUAAAUAGAAGGGCUUAACCUGGGUGCAAUCUCACAUAAAACGUUUGAUUGGUAUUAUGACAAUGACAAGCAAAUUUUAAGAACUUUGGGUCGGAGUCCUUUUCCUUUUUCCUCUUUGAUGGGCAAAAUAAAUGGUGCAUAACUACAUUAGAAAUAAAUGAUAUCAAUUUUGGCAGUUACAUUAGUGAGCAAAAUUGGGUUGGUGGGACCAUAUGUUUAGCCAUUCAAUAGUCCGAACAGGUCAUUUAAUUCGUAACAUUGUGUGUCAGGAACUACCAUUAAAGAAAGAGCAAGUCCUUUCGCAACUCUCAACUCAUCAUUCAUAUGACAGAAAUAGAGACAGUAGAAAACCUGUCUGCGUUAUCUACCACUGUAGACCAUGUGCCAUAGAUUCAACUGCCACCAUGUCAAACCAACCAGAGAAAAAGGAUGAUGGUCCAACUUCUAUGUAGAGAAACAGUAGUAACUGCAGGUGUAUAUCUCUAACUUAAUUGGGUGUCCUGAUUCCCCUCUGAUUUAUUGAAACCUUUGCAUGGCCUGAGAAGAUGUUAGUGGCUAGGAGACUAGAAGAAGCAAGUAGUUUCUCCAGUGUUUGAGGAUUGUCGAUUCGGUCAAAUAAAGUUAUGUAAAGACUUAGCAAGUUGGGUAUACAUAGAUGUUUUGGAUCUUUUCGUCUAGGAGGGAGACCAUUGGGUUGAUAUAGAUAGCAGGUUAAAUCUUUGUAUUUCUGAUCCGUUGUUCAGAGAGACAGUCCAUCUUUAUUAGUACUCAAAGUUCUGGCCUUUCCUGAUGGCCAUAAAAAUGUCCUGCCAUCUGUGAAGGCACAUGGUGCCUGAGACCUCGCCUUGAGAAAUUUUGGCUAUUGAUUCAAUUUGUGUGUGUUGUUGAGCUUGUCCGCGCCUUUCAACCUUUUCUUGGCAGCUUUCCCUUUUUUGAAUGUUGGAGUCAAGGAUGUUAGGCUUAUCAUUUGUAUGACAUCCCCCACCCUGGAUCCCGUCUCUCUUUCUCUUCCAACAAGACUUGUUUCUUCCACAGCUCAGUUUGGUUAUAAGAGUUGGAUUUAGUACAAUUUAGGCUUGAGCUAGGUCAUUGAUCAAGCAUCGAACUUUUUUUCUUAAUUAUGAUAAAAAUAUAAAUAACUAAAGAAGCUAAAAUGUAGCUCCUCAGUCCAGAAAUAGUUUUAAAUCAGUGAAAACUUGGCCCCAGAUUGUUUAAGAGGUGCUGAAAUUGAAAUGUCUGUAAGCAAAAGAUGCUACCAUUCUUUCCCAACGUAUCGGAUGCUACCGUAUAUUAGAAGCAUGGCUUUGGAAGAGGUGUCGAAAUUGCGGUGUCCGUAGCACUACUUCCGAGGUUUGCAAUCUUUAGAUGAAUUUUAAGUUAAAUUUGACCUAGCCUAGAAUCUGCAUGUGCAAUGCACAUGAGAUAAUUUAUGAAUGGUGCGAGAGGGGCCAAAGACUCUAUCGAGGGUGAGAGAGAGAGAGUGAUGGUGCACCGUAAGGUGGAAGAGAUGGGCAGAGUACUCGGUGGAAGGUGGGAAAGCGGGGCAGAGUGCUCGAUGAAAAGUGGGAGAGGAGGGUGGGGCGGCGAGGAUUUUUUUCUUCUAAAAAAUUGUUGAUUGAAUGUAAGGUUGAAAAUGAUUCGGUUGGUUCGAUUUUAAAUAAUUUUUUUUGAGUAAAAUUGAUAUUUUAAUUUUAAAAAAAAUUAAAAUCAAAUAUUUGAUUAAAUAUAAUUGAUUUUUUGAUUUGAUUUUAUAUCAGUUUGAUUUGUUCAUAUAGUAUUUUUAAGUAUUUGAAUGGUUUGAAUAAUUUUUCGAUUUAAGCGGAUUGAUCAAUUUGAUUUCUAUUUUUUGUUUCUUUAUUAUGGUUCAUAAUCAAAUCAAAUUUAAUUCAAGUCGGAUUGAAAUAGGAUCAAAUCAAUAUUUUAAAUUCUUAAUUCAUAUAAAAUACAUAGUAUAAUUUUGAAUAUACAUCUAACAUAAAUAUAUAUAUAUAAAUAUAUGAAGCAUGUAAUAUAGAUAUAUAUAUAAAUAUAAUAUGAUAUUUUAAUUUUAAUUUAUCGGUUCAGUUAGGUUUCGGUGGAUCACAUAAAUCAAUAAAUCAAUAAUCAAAUCGAAAUAUCAAUUUUUUUUUUUAUUCAAUCGAACCAAAUCAGUUAAACCAUCGAACCACUAUAUUUAGUUCCGUUCAGAUUGGAUUGGAUGGUUUAGAUGGUUUGAUUGAAAUUUUUUACCUCCCCCCUCCCGUGCACAUUGACGUGGCAAGUUGGUAGAUUUGGUGAAAAAAAAGUAGCUUGUUAUGUUGCUAUAGGCUGAUAAACAGGAUAUAAUUUCUCCUUCUAGCCAGAAUUUUAAAUAUAUAGGUUGAAAUGCUUUAAAUACACGACCAAAAAGAACAAUAGCUGGCCAACAAAGAAAUGCCUCGGUGAUAAGAUUGGCUCAAUUCAUCAUUUCUUACACUGAGCGGCUAGAGUUUUUUUAACCCCCAACCCACCUCCCAAACCAAAAAUCAAAAAGAAAAGCUAAGUAGAUGCAUCUAGAUGCAUCUAGCAUUUUCGUGAAUAAGCUAAGUAAUCCAUUGUUAGCAAACAAGAUCUCAACACAUAUCAUGCAUGUGAUUUAUUCAAUAAGACUUGGAUCCCAUCACUCAAAGGUUAGAAGAUCUGAUAAAUGUAAAAAAAAUAUAUUUUCAUCAAAAAGGUAAAUAUAUAUAUAUAUAUAUAUAACUUAUUUAUUAGAAAAAGUUGACAUUUAUAAUCAUAGAUAAAUGGCUCAGGUCAAACUUGCAGUUCAUGGCACAAGGUACUUGUGCCCUAAACUUAAUUUCCUCAAGCUAAACGCAUGCAUUGUCACCCUGUUGCUGGUUCAUGUACCUUUGUCACAACUUACAAGUCAUGAUACGAAAUUCUGGUUUGAGGAUUUCGUUUUUUCGCGAGACUAAGUUGUUUAUACUGUGUUGAUCUACGUUCUAAUCAAUCCUUAGGCUGAAACCAAUUACUCAUCCAAUUUGUUUCAACGCCUAAUCGAAUGACACCUAGCCCAUUCCAUGAAAGGGACCUGCCUUGCCACCGGUGGCGAGAGCCAGGACCGCAAUGCUGGGGCCCUAGAGCAUGACGCGCGCCCUCCAUGCACCGGACUCGUCCGUGCGGUACACUGGGGCGUUGGGUGCAUCGCACAUGCAUGUCCCCUUGUAGCUGUGCGCAUGGAGGUGGCACUCACAAUUGAUAGUAGGGUAAACCCGUUGCCUAAUUAUUCUAUAGAUGUUUAGCAUCACCGUGCAACAUGGCAUUUUGUGAACGGGAAAUGCUAUAAUCGAACUUUUUCAAUACCGAAUAUGUCUUUGUUUAAAGAAUAAUUUCCGCUGCAUGAUCUUUCAUGGUCCCUGUGUCUCACCAGUCUCCCAUGUGUUAUGCACAUUCUAGAAAAUGCUUUCGGUUCGUUCUCUCAAGGAAAGGAGUUGCACCCAGUUCUCUUUGAUUAAGAAUUAUUCUAAUAAAGCAUGAAAGGCAGCUGAAAUUAUUAAUAUCUUGAAACAUGGACCAUAAUAUAUGUUGAGGGAUAUAAGGUUUUAUAAAAAAUACUUGGGGCAUGUUUGGAUGUUUUUAAAGAACUAAGCUGAAAAUCAUGCAGGAAUCGAAUCUGUUGCUCCAUCUUCUAAAACCAUAUCCAAACACAGACUCAGAUGCUAAUCUUUAGGCUGAGGAAGAAAAUAAAGAUCCAUAGAGGUUUUUUUCCCUUCUCAUAUAGUAUUUAAGUUGGGUGGAAUUUGGUUGAUACUACUUAAAUGGAUGGUCUAAUCUACAAAUCCUACAAGAUUUUCGGUCUAUAGGAAUAGUCAAACAUGCCCUUAGAAAGUCUCCAUGAACCUUCUUCACUUAAUUAUCAAGGACUUUUUUUGGGGGGAGAGAUAAAUCGAGGACUUUUUCUAAGAACACUAGAACAUUACACUGAAGGCAUUCGCCCUUCUUUAUAAGCAGAUAAAGGGGGACCCCGAUGAAUGAUCUGAUGCUGCUUUUGAAUCAAAAUACCAAGGCAUGCCCUUGUUCAUCUCCGUAUUUCCAUAUUUUCACCAUCCAUGUAUUUUGUUGUUGCUUGCACCUCAUCCAACGGCUAUCAAGCUUAUUCAAUGGAGCAAAUCAAGUUAAUCCAAGUAGUUAUAAUUUCCUAGUUCUAAUAUUGAUAAAUCCAGCAAUCAAGCCCAAUGGUAAAGAAUCAUGCAAGGUACAACAGUGACCUUCAUAACCAUACAGCCCAUGAAUACAACUCCGAAGGACCCCCUGCAGAUUGUACCGUCCUCAUCUCUCAUCCUAACAAGAAGACAACACACCGCGCUUCCCUUGCAUGGAUAGGUUAAAAUGCUUCAAGACAGAGCAGAUGAUACGAACCAAAACCAAACAACCGCUUGCAGCAAAUAUCAUAAAACCACAGCCACACCUCAUUGCACUAACAAACAACUUUUAAGUAAUAAUACUAACAAAAGGCAAUUGGAUUUCUGUACCCCUAAAAUCGAAAACUUUUACACCAUUUUACCAAUCCAACCCCAUCCCUUUCUACAACCCCCACCCACCACACCAAACCCAAACCAAGUCAGUAAAUGAUAGCUAGGAAAGAAGAAGAAAAAAAAACAAAGAAAGAAAUUAUUAAUUCCAUUGUUAAUUGAGGCCUAAUCCUAGGUUAGAUUAGACACUGUAGAUAAUUAGGAAGCAAGGGAGCACCGCCCGAGGGUCGAACACAACGAGCUCUCCUUUCGGAAGGGACACCGACUCGCCGGCCGACUCGGGGUCCGACCCGGUCCGAACACGGCCCGCGAUGACCCGGCAAACCAGCAUUGCCCUCCGGCCGGCCCCGCCGCCGGCGCUCUCGUGGGCCCGGCCGCUCCCAGCGAAGGUCCGGACUCCCCCCGCCUUCCCCCCCCGGCGACCACACCUCGCAGCACGCCACCCCGCCGUCGUAGAUCGCGUCGCUGGAGGCGGAGGAGCUGGGAGCGCAGUGGAAGCGCAUCAUCUCGUUGCCGUCGGCGGCGCAGCGGGCGUCGUCGGAGUGGGAGGCGGCACAGCGAGCGCGCACCGCGGUCCGGUACUCCUCGAACCGGGCGACGGUCCGGGGCGGGUUGUGGACCCGGAAGAGCAUCUCGAUCUCGCCCGGGAACGCCGCGCCCCGGGACGACCAGCUCGAGCUGAAGAUGAUCUCCACCACCCGCCGGGACGAGUGGCCGGCCGGCAGCUCGGUCAGGGUAGGGAAAUGGUGGGAGUGCGCCGGGCCCGGCGCCGAGGGCGAGGGCGGGGCCGGCGGGGGCUUGGGUUUGGGUUUGGGUCUGGUUCUGGGUCGGGGUUUGGUUUGGGGUGGCGGGGUGGGCUUGGGGGAUGGCUUUUUAGGAAGAGACGAGGGAUGCUUAGGCAAAAGAAAGACGACGUCUUUGAGGGCGUGGGAGGAGUUGGCGCAGGAGAGCGGGAGGAGGGGCUUCUUAGACGGCGUCGGGGGGUAGACGUCUUCCAGGGCGUUGGAUUUGCACUGGAGGGAUUUAACCCAGCCCGUCGCCAUUAACGGCGGGGAGGAACAAAGGGAUUCGGAACAAAUAAGAGAAAGAGCGAGCGGGAUAAACGGACCAAGGCCCAAGGGACAAAGAGGUAAUGUUUGGGUGAGGGGUUUUGAGGUUGGAAAAGGUGGGGGUCCAGAGGAGGAGGAGGAGGUGGUGGUGGAGGAGGUGGGUAUUUGGUUGUUUGCUUUGGCGGUGCUUUUAUGUGCUGGUUCCGUGGAUGAUUUCCUUUUUCAUUCAUUGCUGCGAGGUUUUACGGCUCUGGGUAGGUGCACAGUGCAAUUGCAAAGCCAGUGGGGCUCUUGGCUGUAAAUGUCCUUUUUUUGUGCUCGGACCGAGCUAGGCUUUAGCAUGUGAGCUACUGGGUUCCCAAAUUAGGCCCAUUUAGUGGUCCAGAUCUCAGUUUGUGUUGGAGCGUGUCUGUUUGUUACUUGUAUGGUUUUGACUUUUAUUAGGAGGGUGAUCAUGCAUGGAUGAUUUCUAAGGUUGAGUAAGAGUAUUUGUGCAUAUCAUACCUGAUUGCGUCAAUUAUCAUGGCAGUGAUUAUAACAAUCUUGGUCAAGUAAAUGGUACGUGAUUAGUUGGUCAGCACCUAAUUAUCGCAUGUAGUUGAUGGGCAUCGGAACAUUUGCCGGUGCUCAUCGGAACAGCCGGAUGUGUAUUGCUGGUAAAUGAGAUGCGUGAUUACCUUGUCGCCGUUGCCUUACCCUUUUUUUUUACUAAAGUUCGUUAAUUUAUAUGUUGUGCAUUUCUUGCACGCAUGCAUGUAUUUUAUGUGUCAUAUUUCCUAUUUCAGAGUGAUUCCUGAAAUUCUUUUAGUAGGAGUGCUGAUGCAUGCCCCAGCCAGUGAGUUUCAUCAGUAGAUUGUCACUAUAAGGCCUUUGACAACAGAAAAAAACUAUGGCUCUUUUUUUUGCAGUCCCUGUGUCUCAAAUUAUUAUUUUUUUUUUGAGAGCCACCAUCUCCUGUUUGCUAAAGGUUAAUUUCGAUGGCAGUGUGCAUAGUCAAGAUAGUAUUGAUGGUUUUAGCUUUGUUAUUCAUAGUGUCUGGUAUUUUUAUUGCAAUCGAAGAGGUUCAAAUUUUUGAUACUAUAAUGCCUGUGGUGGAAUUGCAUGCUGCAUAGGAAGGUUUGUCAUUGGAUGUCUAUAACUUGUAUGUUUCGCAAAUUUGAGUGGAAGGUGAUUUUAUGAUGGUUGUUAAAUGACUUUCUGAUCUAUAGUUAGAUUAUUAUAGGAGGUGUUGGGUUAGAUCCUUGUCGCUUCGCCAACUAUCUUUCUCUUCCUCGUCUCCCUUUCGAUUAAGUGUGCGACAAUCAUCUUUCGUCUUUGUCUUCCUCCCAACUAAGCGCAUGACAUUAUCGAUUAGGCCAACUUAAAUUGCGGAGUAUGACCAAGUCGGCAUUUGAUCGACUUGGUUUGACGUUUAGUCCAUGUCUAGCUGACAAUGUUCGAGGUCGAGAUGGCGACAUUAUGCUGACUAUUUUAAUGUCAUAAGUCUGGAGAUCGAACGACGGUUAUUCGGUACAAGUAUUAACUACCCACAGUCAUGAGGUGUAAUAGUCGUCUACGAAUGGAUCACUACUCGACCUUAAUGCCUGAUAAUGGGGUAACCACCUAGUAAAUGUCAUAACUUCCACGUCUCAAAUAUUCAAGGACGAGAGUUACAUGGCAACGAUAUUCUCCACCCUAUAAAUAAUCUUAAGUAAAAGGGGACUAGAUAAGUUUUACUGAUUAGAAGCUUUUGGUUCUUUACUGUUCUCUUUCUCCGAUUGACUUAAGCAUCGGGGGGUCCUUCAUCAAAAAAUUUUCUAUAAGUGAACUUCAUUUUGUAGGUUUCCUGCUGCUCAGCUCUCAGGCGCUACAUCUCGACUCACCAUCGAUCAUCUUAUCGGAGAUCGGCAACAACAAGAGACAUCUAUUAUUGUAGGAUUGUUAGAGGAUGUUGGGCUUUAUGUCUAUUGCUGAAGUUCUACAUAUAUAUUGGGAAGCUAAUAGUGCUGUUGAUUGGAUGACCUCUUUCAUGGCUGAGCAUUUUGGAUCAAUAUUAUAAAAAUUUAUGAUUAAUUUAUCUUUUUAAUUUUUAGAUAUUUAAAUUUUUGAUUUUUAGAGAUGUAUUUACACCCCCAUUCCCGCCCCCCAAUUAAAAAAAAAAAAAAAAAAAAAAAAAAAGAAAAAGNNNNNNNNNNNNNNNNNNNNAAAAAGAGGAAAGGGUAACCCAUGGGAUCAUAUUGAAGAAGACGUGCGCGAUCUAGGUGGAAACCUUCGAUCCAAAGGGACUCAACCUAAUUCAAACCAGCAUUAUUCGCUAGGUAAUCUGCCACCUAGUUGGCUUUGCGGAAGACAUUGAUGGAGAAGAAAUUAUGCAUUCUGGCACCAGCCUCCCUUAUUUUCCUUAAAGCAGGGUGGAGAGUAGCAAUGCCAAUCAAUCCAGGUCACUGUUGCCAUCGAGUCACUCUCCAAAACUAUAUCAUCCUCUUGUAUGAGGGGUACGGCCAUCCUGAGUCCAAGCCAAGCUGCCGUAACCUCCACCUGUAGCACUGAGUUCAUGUAAACUGUCCAAGCUGCCGUAACCUCCAUCUACGGCACUGAGUUCAUGUAAACUGGAAUAAAAGCUGUGAGGAAGCCAGCGUUCCAAUUUAUCAAAAUUAACUUUACUAUGACCUGGUUGUGGGGCUUCCAAGCAGUAAGUAUGUGUUGAGGAGGGGCCUCAAACAGUCGCGGCAUGUGGCAGCUCCAGAUUCCGGUGCCCAACAACUUUGAUUGAUCCAGGAUCGAUCGUGUGUGUUAAAAAACUAGCUUUAGAAAUUGCCUCUAGAGGAUCCACAACACGAUCCUGUCCUCUUGUAAUUAGAUUUUUGUUGAAUUCUCUAUCAUCCACUAUUUAAGCGCCGGAGCCUUGCCUAAUUGCUUGACUCUCAAUAGGUAUAUUUUUGGCGGGGCUCCAUUUUGUAGCCAAUUUUUAUUUCACAAUCACCCAUCAAAGACUCCAUCUUUUUAAAUAACUGAUGCUACACAUGCAAAAAGGGAAAAAAGAAAAAACUUUAAUUAAAGUGUCUUCUACCAACGGAGCCAGACGAACCAACUUUGAUCAAGCAUCACAAAGUGAGGUGGUGAUGGAGCAGAAAACAAUCCGGAUGCAGUUAGAAGAGUUAUUUCAACCUCUCAGAUAUUAGUGUUACUUUUCGUUUUAAAUCAAAUGCCAUUUCAAAUUACUCUAUUCUAUGAAUUUUGAGUUGCAUUCCUGCUGUCCUAAAUCAACUUAAUCUUUGAAAUUAACUUGUAAAUUACAGUUAUCUACAGCCAAGGAAAUUGGACAGCAUUGCUUUGCAUCGUAGUCAGAAUUCUCAAUAGUUAAGUUGGUAGGUUGCUUGCCCCCACUAGUUCAUUCGUUUAGGGUGAGCACAUGAUAUCAAAAAGUUAACGGCCCAAAGCCCAUCCCUAAAAAAAAAAAACUUUCUAUAAGGUUCGAUUGGACAUGACAAAAAACGCAAUAGAUGAAAAGUAGCCCGUAAAAAUGGCAUGGGAAUAGACUAAUGUCAUGGGGUUGCGUUGAAGUCACAAUUCUCUUGGUUUUAUAUGAGCUCGAAAUGGACAAACUGUUUCUAUAUGCUCCACUCCUGACCUGUGACAACUUUCCAAAGGAGAUAAAUGCUUCCAUGUUCCUUCGCAGCUGCAUGCGGGUCAGAAGAGGACUCAAGACAUGGACAGAUGAUGUGGAUUUGUGGAAACAAGUUCCAUCAAAUGGUUGCUCUCAAUGUGAGAACCCUUUCAAAUUUUCUUUGCUAGUACUUGAGUAAAGGAAGGCCGAAAGCAUGUAUUCCAUCUAUUGGAUACAUCAUUGCAUGGAUAAGAAAUGACCUUAUCAAUAACGACUACUUUUUUGUUCCAUGACAAAGGCAUCAUCAGGUGCAAAUGGACUGGUGAUUGUUAUUGUUCCAAUCAGAGUGAUGGAACGGAAUUUGAUGUUAGCUCUGAGAGAAAAAAGGGGAAAAUAAAAGAAAAAUCCAACCUCUUCCCUUGCUGAAAUCACUAAAACAUUCAAAAUGGGAUUAUGCAGUUGAUUUGGUGUGCUUUGCUUUUUCUGUUAUAAUGAUGUACUCAGGUGAAGUCUCUUUCUUUGAGUAGGGUACUAAAAUGAAAUUUUAAAAUGACUCAACCGGCAUUGGGCUCGAUUUCUACAAAAUUUUAGGAGAGUGUCAAAAUCAACACCUAGUCUACAUGCAAAGUUAGGCAAAGAUAACAAAGAAAGCGUGUUCAUUUAGCUUUCCAACAGGUAUUCAUCUAUGCAGACAAAUUGAUACUAGACCUAACCUUGAUGGCUAUUGUUCUUUGCUGUUGCUUAUAAACCAAGACUAGACUUGGUUUCUGUUCUCCAAAUUCUUCCACUUGAAUGUCCCAGUCUAGAUCGUUGUGUCAUGGGUGGGCUUUUUGGUCAUUCCCUUGAGGAAAGGUGGUUAUAUAGAGAAGAAAAAAGAUAAAAUGGAAGAGAGAUGGAACAGUGAAAGUUUGAACCAGAAAGAAGGUAGAGUCUCUUUUUUCUCCCACUUCCUUCAAACUAUUUGCGGAGUUCAGUGGCAGAAGUACCUGGAGAGAGGUUUGUGGGGGACAAGACCAUAAGAAAGACGACAGCUUUGAGAUUUUUGGUAUGAUGAAAGGUAGGAAUGGAGAUGCUCUACACGAGGUGGGAGACAGAAGGGUUAAUACCGCCAGCCUUUGUUUGCUCACGCCUAACCGAGAUCGGAAUGGAAUCCUCUUUGGGUGCCCCGGGAAACGCGCCGUUUGCCCCGGCGUGCGCCUCGGACGACUCGGUGGACCCGGUGGUGAGUCACUUGUCGGUCAGGCCCCGGCGAUGCCGAGUCGGGACCAGUUUACCGGAAGAAUUGUAGAAACAUGGCUUUUCUUUGUAAAUUUUAUUCUAUUUACUUUAUUAUUAUUAUUAUUAUUUGUGUUCGGGUAAAGAAAUAGCUAAUAAUUUCACCUGCAGAAAACUUCCAUUGGAGCGAGGUGAUUCUGGCAGCAGGCUUUGAAAUUUACAUUUUACCAAUGAUGCAAAUAAGUUUCUAAUGGCCCCAUGUAUUCAUUAUUAGCUAUGGUACAUUAAUCUCAAAGCCCAGCGCGACCCAAAUCUUGCUCCAGUGGAAACCAAGGUUUUCAUUGCACAAUGAAUCUAGACUGUACAUUUAGAAAGCUUUUGAUUAAAGUAUAAUAAUAGUAGUCGUAACGAUAGUAGCAGUAGUAGUAAAUGUUAAUAUAAAAAGCAUAAAUUAUAAUAGUAUAAUAAUGUUAAUCAUAGAUUUUAUUUUUAAUGAAACCCUAAACAUAGAAUAAUAUUAAUAUAACACUAUUCGAUAAAAAUGUUAACAUAAAAGGCAUAAAUUGGGGGGAAAAAAUAAAAUAACAAUAUAGCUAAAUUAUAAUGCCAUAAUGAUGAUGAUGAUGAUGAAGUGCGUAAGUUGUUUUGUGUAUUAUAACGCGACAUGUGUCUAGAAAUUGUUAUAAUGAUCAAUUUAAUGUCAUUUCUCCCAAAGUUAAUUGUAGUGAUAUGAUAGUGUUCUCUCUUUAAAACCAGUGAUCCUUUUUCCCUCCUGUGAAUUGCAUAUUUUUGCAGCUUGAAGGCUAGCUACUUCUUAAGCUUGGGAGUGCCCCGAUUAUCAGUUGCCAAAUGUUCUAUUGAAUCCUCUAUUAUUUGGGUUAGGUUUCAAGGUUAUUAUUUUAGGAGGAAUGCCAGGAGAGGUUUUAAGGUUUAACAUGAGACAGAAGGGAGGAUUACUAUUACAUCCUUCUCAUGUGCACGAAUGAAUGCUGGUUUAUGUUCUCCACUUCUCCUUAAUAAAGAAGUUCAGCCAAACGAAUUCUGGAAGGUAAAAGAAAUAAUACGUUCUUCCACACUUCCAUUCUCCUCUAAAGCAUCAAGAACAUGAUUGUUGGAAGCAUGAUUAACAAUAAAGAAUGUCUCAUUGAAGUUUAGAAUCACAUGAUGGACUUUAAUGUUUGUAUCUCUGAACCUUGCUGCUCUCCUUUCAUGGUCUAUCCCUGACUUUGGGAACUCUGCUCUAGCUAUUGGGACUUCCAACGUUCAAAUUAGCUGGAUUAUUGGCAGCCUUAGACUUGAUGAUUCCCAGGCAUAGGUGGCAUAUAUGCAAUUAAGUUCUGAUUCCUCAUGAAAUCCGGGGUGUGUAAGCCAUCAUGAGCUUUAGCGAAGGCAUGCUUAGGAGAGGACUGGUGGAAGAACGACUGUUUCAACUUCUAAAGUGGGAAAGUCUGAGGUAUUAAGUAAAGCAUAUAAAAAUUCGGACCCGCUGCAGCCAACACCAUGACUAGGGCUGCAAAUGGGCCGGGACCAAUUUGAGGCCCAUCAGCCUAGAGCACCUUGAGAUCAGACUAUGGACUAGGCCUGAAACAUUGUGGACCUAGCUCAUAUACAGAGCGCGUGUAUUUUUGGGUUGAGAUUGGGCGUAUCAUUGACCCAGGCCAAGCCCAAGGUCGGACUGAAAUAAAGGCAACAUAAGUUUGAACCCAGCCCUGGUUUCGAAGAUUAAUUUUUUCUCAUUUUUUCCCUUCUUCCUCUCUUCCCAUUCUUUCUAUCUUCCCACCCCUUUCUCUCCAACUAAUUAUCGCAAACCUUUUCUUUUUCUUGAUAGCCAUCAUAAAAACACUUCUCGCCCCUUCCAUCGCUUUCUUCACAUUCUUUGACAUGCAGUACAAUAAUAGCACACAUGAUGGUGGUGAGGCUCCAUCCGAUAGGCCCUUCGAUGACCAUAUGCGGAAACAAACCAAAAUAUCACCAUUAAUGGCGGUAAAAGACGACAUGGGGAACUGCCAUGAGCAGCUGAUCGACCAGUCACUUAUGUCUAGUUACUCAGAUUGGAUUAGGGAGGCAUUGGACAAGCUCCUGAACAAGUUCUUGAUCGUAGAUUUGGGUAUCUCUAUCCACUUAUCAUCUUCGCUAGUCAAGGAUUCCUCGCCAUGCUAGGCUAGCUUGGAAGGAGGUGGUGGGGCAGAAUAGGAGGAUCUUCCAGCAUUUCGUCAUCAACCAGCAAUAGGUGAUGGAGAUCUGAGAGGGGAUUUAGGAGGAGCAGACUCUUUAGAUUAGCUCACUCAACUACCGAAAGGAUGGGAUGCUACAUUGCAUCUUGUUCCACCCAUGCCCUAUCUUUUGGAUGGAGGAUGGAUGGAUGAUUCACUUUGUGGCCGUUCAUGUGUCGAUAGUGAGGUGGUCAAGAGGUUGGGGGUGAGAGGAAAGGAGUAUGGGGCAUGUUGUAAUGAGGUGUAUUUGGCCAGAAGCUUGAAGUCAACACUAUUGUUAGUUAAGUUUGGACCAGUCCAGUUUCUAGCCCAAAUGGGCAAAUUUGGUCUAACCCAGUCAGAUUCGGGUUCAGGCCUGGGCUCAAAUCAAACUCGAGUUUGGAUUUUUCAAAUUUUUUUUAACUUAACUCCCGCAUAAAGUCUAAAGAAAUUUUGAGCCGAAUUCAAAUAAGGGCAUAGUCGUGUCUAUUUCUAACCUUAACCAUGACCUAGCCAGGCUUGGAAGCUCAUAUACCUAAAUUUUUGUCUUACAAAGUAGAAGAUCUGCAAAUAGAAGAGAAAUUCUUUGUGCACCACGGACGGUGUAGAAAAUCCGACGUGGAGAGCACCGUCUUAUCUAAUUGGUCUAUGUAGUCACUGCUUUUCAAUACACAUUUAAUGCAUGUAGAUCAGCUUUUUCAUUUAAAAAUUUUAUACGAUGAAAGUGUCCCUAUCCUUUGAAAAAAGUUAUGACAUCCUGUGGCGUAUUAUAGUCCAGGAUGUCAUAAUAUGAUCUAAGAUAUCAUAAUAUGGAAAGAGCAUUUUUGUCCAACCACUUUUCAACACGCAUUUAAUGUCUGCAUAUCGAUUUUUUCAUUUAAAAAUUUUGAAUGACAAAAAUAUCCAUAUUUUUUGAAAAAAUUUAUGAUGUCAUGUGCAUAUUAUGACAUCUUACGUUAUAUUAUGAUAUCCUAUGGACAAAAAUUAUGACUUUUUGAAUGUAGGAUGUUAUAAUAUGGAUAUAGGAUGUUAUAAUUUUACUAAAGAACAUGAGUAUUUUGGUCAUACAAAAUUUUUAAAUGAAAAAAUCGAUCUGUAGACAUUAAAUGUGCGUUGGAAAAUGAUCACUACGUGGAUCAAUCGGAUAAGACGGUAUGCCCUACGUCAGAUAUUCUACACCAUCCGUGGUGCAUAAAGAAUUUGCCCAAGAUGGAAUGAUGCCAGGAUAAGCGUAUAAACAUUUGGGCCUGCUGGAGUCAACACCAUCAAUGGCAUAAACCAGGCUAAGCUUGGAAACCAGAGACCUUAAUUUUUAUCCAAAAAAAUAAAAGAUGGGUGGGUAAUUCUUUGUAUAUCGUGUAUAGUAUAGAAAAAGUACAUCAGUCCACUAUAUUGUAUUACGUAGUACAAUUAAUAAAGAGAUAUAUAUUUAAUAUAGUUUAAUUUUUUUCUUAAUUUUUUUUAAUCAAAAUAUUAUUUUCUAAUAUUAUGAUAUCAUAUUAUUUUUUUAUAUGAUAUCAUAGGAUGCAAAUAGGAUGUUAUAAUAUUAUUAUAACAUUUUGUUACAAUUCUGUGACAUCCUGUUGUAUGUUAUAGAUAAUUAUUGGGAUGGCAUAAAGAGUUAACAGAAUAUCAUAUAAAAUAUAGAAAGUCAUAUAUAUUAUUCAGAAUGUCAUAUAUAUUCAUAGAAAGUUAUAUAUAUUGUUUAGGAUAUUAUAUAUAUUCAUAUGAAGUCAUAUAACAUAUCAAAAAGUCAUAUAUAUUGUUCAUGAUAUCAUAUAAAGAUAUUAAAAGUCAUAUAUAUUAUUCAGAAUAUCAUAUAUAUUCACAAGAAGUCAUAUAUAUUAUUCAAGAUAUCAUAUAUAUUCACAAAAAAUUAUUUAAAGCAUCAGGCAGCUAGUAUAUUGUUCAGGAUGUCAUAUAAAGACACAAAAAGUCAUAUAAAAUAUUAGGAAGUCAUAAUAAUCAACAAAGUAUCAUACAAAGACACAGAAAGUCAUUUACAUUAUUUAGGAUGUCAUAUAUACUUACAAAAAAUCAUAGAAGAUAUCAUAAAGUAAUAAUACUAUUCUUUCUUUGUUCUAUGAAAGGAAAGGAUAUUUUUGUUAGAAAAAUUUGAUAAAAAAUAUUGAAUAGUAUUAAAUAUCUAUCUUACUAAAUCACACUACAUGAUUUAAUAUGAUUGAAUGAUGUGCUUUUUGUCAAUUUUAUUGCACCAUAUGCAAUGUAUAAAGAACUACUGUGAAGUGAAUUACGCCAGGUUUGAAAGGUGGAAGCCAUGAUCUUACAUCUUGGUUGAGAGAGAAGAGUAGGAGAGAGAAAAACAGAAUAGGAGAGCAAGUUAUUAUUUUUUCUUGGUUGGAAGUUUUUUUAUAAAAAAAAUAGAAAUAAAAAAAGAGAAACGGAGGGAAUAUAAAUCUUCUCAAAUCCACAAUCUUUUUCUCCUCCAAAUCGAGCAGAAUUGGAGAGAAAGAAAUUGAGAGUUAGUAAAUUUUUUAUAAUUUUUAUCUUAACCUUUUAAUGAUAAAGAAUAAAAUUAAUAUUACAUUUCAAUCUGAAAGCUUAUUCCAAACAUUCCACCUAAGCCUCCAAUCUAAUUACAACUCCCGUGAAUGAGAAAAAUCAACGAAAAUAAAAAAAAAAUAGAAAAAUUUAAAAUAUAAGAUUUUUUCUUGAUUUUUUCUUAUAUUUAUUAAAUUUUUUUAAGGAUAUAAUAGAAAAAAAUUAUAAUAUAUUUUUUUUCUUCUUUACUUCCAUUCAAGAAGGAAAGAAAUUAAUUUCUUUGCUUUCUUUAAACUCUCAAUCAAAAAGAAAGAGGUAUACUUUUUUUUUCUCUUCUUAUUAAUAUUUUUUUUUUAUUUCUUCUCCAAACUCCCUGUCAAGGCAUUAAUCUUUAUCUUUACUAAAAAAAAAAGAGAUAAAUUAUGUUUCUAGUCCUUAAACUAUAUCGAAUUUUUUUAAAUAAUCUUUAAACUAUAAAACUAUAACUUUUGAUCCCUAAUCUUUUUGAAUCAUCUUAAUAUUAUCCUUCGAUCAAUUUUCGAUAAUUUUUUCUCACCGAUUUAGUUGUUUCUCGCUGAACCAGUGCUUAUGUGACCAUUUUUUGGAAAGAUGGCAUUGACACGCUUAUGCGGCAAAGCAUGAACCAUAAAAUAAUUAAAAAAUAAAAAAAGAAAUGAAGAAGACUCCUGUAGGGAGUCUUCUCCUUCCUUCCGAUCGACUCCUAAAUGGAGGCGGAAUCCAUCCUGAGUGGAGAAUGAAGGAGAAAUCUGAGGGCAAUGACGGUAGUGGAGGAGGGGAAAGAAAGGACAGGGGGAGCUAGGGCCGAUGGAGUGGGGUGAGGUGGGGCAGGGUGAGGGUGGGGGAGCGGAAGAAAUUGCCAUAGAGGGAGAGGAAGAGCUUCUUUUUUUUUUGCCAUGUCAUUACAAUUGCCGGCCGACGGCCGUUGGCAGCUAAGGCGGUGAUGGCACAGCUCAGAGAACCCAAACUGACGUCGGCGGUGACCACCGGCACUGAAAAAUGCCAAAAAAAGGGCUGAACACCAAAAAAAAGAGGGAAGACUCUGAUCUCGAUUUUUCGGUGAAGCCGGCAGUCGGCGGCCGUGCACACAUGCAAAGGAAGGAAGGAGAAGAAGGGGGCGGCCGGUGGCAGUGGUUACCAGUCAAGAAAAUAUAUAUGGGAAAGAGCCCGAAAAUCAUAGCAUAGAGGAGGUUUCAUUUUUUUUUUUGGCUGUUGGCCACUCGUCGGCGUCCAUGGACUUAUUGUUGUGGGUCGUGAGGAUGUCGGCUGCUCGACCUUGGGCUCGGGUUUAAGGAAAAGCGAUGUCGGCGGCCGAAAAAUGGGAGAAAUCUCUCAGCCAAAAUAGGAGAUUCUCUUCUUUGUGGUUUUUCAGUGAGAGCGGUGGUCGGCGAUGGUGCCAACUACUACGGUAAGAAGGGAAAGAGAGAGAGAAGGAAGGAUCGGGGCCUUACCUUGGCUCUGGCAUCUCUGACUCCAAUUUCCGACGGACUAAGUGGCCCCGAUCCUUCCUCUUUGGGAUCCUCCUUGUCACCGGCUGCGCCGCUCGCUUCAAGCCCGGGUCAGGAUAGGAUGCCAGUGUGGUGGGCUUGGGUUUGAUUAGGUCGAGAAGGAGGGAAGGGGAUGAGGAGAAGGAGAGGGACUCGGUGGUGGAGAGGGAGAUCUGGAGGGCCUUGGUGAGGGCUUUGAUUUCUCUUGCAAAGACAUUGGAGAUCCACGAGUCGGAAAAGAGAGGGCUGUAGGAGGUGGAGGCACGAGGGGGCCGACGAGGUUGGGGCAAGGAGAGGGGGUGGUGUGGGGGUGCUGGGCUUUGCUACUGCAGAGAAGGACGGCGAUGCGGCCACGGAAGGAAAAGAGGAUCGUGAGGGAGAGAGAGAGUAAUUUUUUUUUAUUUUUUUAUUUCAGAUCAGCAUCGGUGAUCAUCACGUGAGCAUCGAUAAUUGUCGCAUAAAAUUUUUGAUGUAAAAAAAAUAUCAAAAAUGAUAGAAGGGUAAUAUUAAAAUAAUUUAAAAAAUUUAAAAAUUAAAACUUAGGUUUUUGUAGUCCGAGGAUUAUUUAAAAACAUCAGAUAUAGUUCGGAGGCUUCUGACAUAAUUUACGGCAAAAGAACCCUUUAUAUUUUAUCCAAAGUAGAGAACGAAGAACCCAAUGCUCCGGCAUCUAAUCUAACGUAAGAUAAUCUAAUAAAGUCGGGGAGCUACCCGGACGGCGGAAGCCGUCGCUCCCAUGGCCGCCGCCGGCGCCGCCACCAUAACGACGGUGUCGCCGCGCCGCCCCUCCCUCCUCCACCGUCUUAUCGCACUGGACACGGCCUUAUCUCUCCGCAUCUACUCGCUCUGCCGCCCCGUCCCCCGCUCCUUUCUCAAAGCCCUCGAGAUCUCCGGCGAUGGCCGCUUCUGGUUUCCCAUCCCCUUCGCCCUCCUCCCCUUUUCCUCCUCCGCCUCCUCCAUCGCUUUUUCUCUCCUCCUCGCCCUCCUCCUUGGCUCCCUUCUCGACCUCCUCCUCGUCGGCCUCGUCAAGCACCUCGUGCGCCGCCCUCGCCCCGUCUACAACAAGGGCAUGAGCCUGGCCUUCUCCGUCGACCACUGGUCCUUCCCCAGCGGCCACGCCUCCCGCGUUUUCUUCAUCGCCUCGUUCCUCCGCCUCUCCGAUGCCUCCCUCCGCCGCCUCCUUGCCGGCUGCGGCUGUAUCGGCGCCUACUACGGCGGCGACCCGGCUGAGCUCCUGGUGCGCCUCGUCUUGGUCUGGUCUGCCGCCACCUCUGCAUCUCGGGUCCUCCUCGGUAGGCAUUUCGUUCUCGAUGUCGUCGCCGGCUCUUGCUUGGGUGUCUUGGAAGCUUUCAUUGUGUUCUAUUUCUUCAACUUUUACAGGUUUUAAUAUUUUUUGCUUGGGGGAUGGUUUGUUCUAAUCUGCCAACUUUUACAGGUUUCAAUAUUGUUUGCUUGGGGGAUGGUUUGUUCUAAUCUGCUUUCUUUGACUAAAUGGGAUCUUACUUUUACUCAAUUAAGCGAUUUCCUCUUUUCUUUAAUGUUUAUAGGCUUUUUGUUAUUUGGCCAGAAUGGCAUUAAAGAAUUUAAGAUCAUUAUCGAAUAUGUUAGUGAUCCAAUGCCUAAUUUUGGCUCUCAGGUUUUAAUUAUAGAUAUCUCCAGGAAGGAUAUAGAAACAUUUUUGGAUGUUAAAACUUAUAAUUUUGUUUCAUUCAUGCGAUUGAAUCUAAUUGUUCCAGUAGAGUUUCCAAGUUCCUAGUUUAAUAGGGGGUAAUUGAUGGAUUGCGGACAUAUCAACGAAAAGCUUUUUACUUUUCAAUCAAAUAAAAUCAUUUUUCUAAAUUUCUUUUAACACAGCUGUAAUGCAUAUCAUAAUUUGCCUUUAAUAUAAUUUGAUGGGUGGCAUAUGUGCACCCUUCUCUAUCGUUGUUCUCCUUUCUUUUCAAUUUUUUUAAAAAAAGGAUGCGUAUUCACAUAGUUUCUCUAGAUGUCUCCUUGUAUCGAUUUUUGUCCUUAACGAUUUCGUUGACAAACCCUAUGGGAGAGUAGUUUGCGAUCAAUAGUAGCUCAUGGCUCCAUUUUCGGACCGGUUGCUGUCAGACUAUUGCAACACUAGUAGCAAAAUUUUUGGAGGCAAAAGAUACUAGGAUUUAGGUAUGCUCUUAAACACUUAUUUUUCAUUACUGCCUGCAUUUCUGUUUAAUGCUUCAGCACUCUUGGUUUCAGUCCCCUUCAUCUGUUUGUCAAAGUUAUGCUUUGGAUGUGAUGUUAACCUGUCAGAAGAAAACUUUGGUCUAUGAUUAUGAUAUCCGAUAACCAAGAGCAGGUGAAGUUGGUUCAACUGGUCAACCAGCAGCAGGUGUUUAUGUCGAUUAGAGACACCAUCUAAAGUGACUUGCAACAAUUCAAAUAAACUUAUAAUGAAUAUUUGAGUGGUUUUAUAUAGGUACAAUACCUUUAAAGGUCUAUUGUUCCCAGGAGGAAAAGUAAUGAAGGGAGAAAGAAGGGACACAAAAGUGAAGGAAGAUUUUAAAACCUAAGGGUUAUAGCGAGCAGUUGCAUUGUGGCUAGAAGCUUGAGAAGGGGCAGCAUUGCUAAACAUGAAAAGAAUUAUUGUAGCUCAGGGCAUAAUGUUGCAAGAAAGGGCCAUCGUCUGAAAGGUAAUCUACAGCUGUACAAUAUCCUUUGUUUUUCCUUUGUGGAUAAUCUAUAAGAUGGCGACUUAGCAAUACACUUGCUAGAGCAUUAAAAUUAAGAGGUGAUAUAGAAUGGAGAUGUAAAAGAGAGCAUGGGCCUCUCGGAAUGCCAUAGGAUAAGUCCAUUUUCUAUGAAGAAAUGCUAGAACAUUAGAAUCAAAUUACUUCAAACUUAAUCCUGGUUAGUGACUUAACUACCAAAUUUCUAGAUAAAAGA
rnacentral:lncRNA from 1 species